CCUACGGGUGGCUGCAGUGGGGAAUAUUGCACAAUGGGGGAAACCCUGAUGCAGCGACGCCGCGUGAGUGAAGAAGGAAUUCGUUAUGUAAAGCGCUAUCAGCAGGGAAGAAAAUGACGGUAACGGAGUAAUAAGCCCCGGCUAACUACGUGCCAGCAGCCGCUGUAAUACGUAGGGCGCAAGCGUUAUCCGGAUAUACUGUGUGUAAAGGCAGCGGAGACGGCAGUGCAAGUCCGGAGUGAAAGGCGGGGGCUUAACCCCCGGACUGCUCUGGAGACUGUACAGCUGGAGUGCAGUAGAGGUAAGUGUAAUUCCUAGUGAAGCGGUGAAAUGCGUAGAUAUAAGGAAGAACACCAGUGGCGAAGGCGGCUUACUGGACUGUAACUGACGUUGAGGCUCGAAAGCGUGGGGAGCAAACAGGAUUAGAUACCCGUGUAGUC
rnacentral:rRNA from 1 species